rnacentral:rRNA from 1 species
AGGGACAUUACACAAUAUGAAGGCGGGCUGGAACCUCUCGGGGUUACAGCCUUGCUGAAUUAUUCACCCUUGUCUUUUGCGUACUUCUUGUUUCCUUGGUGGGUUCGCCCACCACUAGGACAAACAUAAACCUUUUGUAAUUGCAAUCAGCGUCAGUAACAAAUUAAUAAUUACAACUUUCAACAACGGAUCUCUUGGUUCUGGCAUCGAUGAAGAACGCAGCGAAAUGCGAUAAGUAGUGUGAAUUGCAGAAUUCAGUGAAUCAUCGAAUCUUUGAACGCACAUUGCGCCCUUUGGUAUUCCAAAGGGCAUGCCUGUUCGAGCGUCAUUUGUACCCUCAAGCUUUGCUUGGUGUUGGGCGUCUUGUCUCUAGCUUUGCUGGAGACUCGCCUUAAAGUAAUUGGCAGCCGGCCUACUGGUUUCGGAGCGCAGCACAAGUCGCACUCUCUAUCAGCAAAGGUCUAGCAUCCAUUAAGCCUUUUUUUCAACUUUUGACCUCGGAUCA